rnacentral:tRNA from 1 species
GGGGGUGUAGCUCAAUAGUAAAGCACUUGCCUAGCAAGCACUUGCCUGGCAAAUGCAAGGCCCUGGGUUCUAUCUCCAGCACUGCCA